rnacentral:rRNA from 1 species
GACGAACGCUGGCGGCGUGCUUAACACAUGCAAGUCGAACGGAAAGGCCCUGCUUUUGUGGGGUGCUCGAGUGGCGAACGGGUGAGUAACACGUGAGUAACCUGCCCUUGACUUUGGGAUAACUUCAGGAAACUGGGGCUAAUACCGGAUAGGAGCUCCUGCUGCAUGGUGGGGGUUGGAAAGUUUCGGCGGUUGGGGAUGGACUCGCGGCUUAUCAGCUUGUUGGUGGGGUAGUGGCUUACCCAGGCUUUGACGGGUAGCCGGCCUGAGAGGGGGACCGGCCACAUUGGGACUGAGAUACGGCCCAGACUCCUACGGGAGGCAGCAGGGGGGAAUAUUGCACAAUGGGCGGAAGCCUGAUGCAGCAACGCCGCGUGCGGGAUGACGGCCUUCGGGGUGUAAACCGCUUUCGCCUGUGACGAAGCGGGAGUGACGGUAAUGGGUAAAGAAGCACCGGCUAACUACGUG